rnacentral:tRNA from 1 species
GCCCAGAUGGCGGAAUGGUUUACGCGCGUCACUUAAAAUGACGUGAGAGAAAUCUCAUGUGGGUUCGACUCCCACUCUGGGCA